AAAGACUGACGCUCAGGUGCGAAAGCGUGGGGAGCAAACAGGAUUAGAUACCCUGGUAGUCCACGCCGUAAACGAUGUCGACUUGGAGGUUGUUCCCUUGAGGAGUGGCUUCCGGAGCUAACGCGUUAAGUCGACCGCCUGGGGAGUACGACCGCAAGGUUAAAACUCAAAUGAAUUGACGGGGGCCCGCACAAGCGGUGGAGCAUGUGGUUUAAUUCGAUGCAACGCGAAGAACCUUACCUACUCUUGACAUCCAGAGAACUUAGCAGAGAUGCUUUGGUGCCUUCGGGAACUCUGAGACAGGUGCUGCAUGGCUGUCGUCAGCUCGUGUUGUGAAAUGUUGGGUUAAGUCCCGCAACGAGCGCAACCCUUAGGACCUCAUUAAAGUGCGUCGUAGUCCGGAUCGGAGUCUGCAACUCGACUCCGUGAAGUCGGAAUCGCUAGUAAUCGUAGAUCAGAAUGCUACGGUGAAUACGUUCCCGGGCCUUGUACACACCGCCCGUCACACCAUGGGAGUGGGUUGCAAAAGAAGUAGGUAGCUUAACCUUCGGGAGGGCGUUUACCACUGUGUGAUUCAUGACUGGGGUG
rnacentral:rRNA from 1 species